rnacentral:rRNA from 1 species
GACGAACGCUGGCGGCGUGCUUAACACAUGCAAGUCGAACGAAGUGGCGAACGGGUGAGUAACGCGUAAUCAACCUGCCCUUCAGAGGGGGACAACAGUUGGAAACGACUGCUAAUACCGCAUACUGAAGGAGGGGAGUGCGUCUGAUUAGCUAGUUGGGGGGGUAACGGCCCACCAAGGCGAUGGUCAGUAGGCGGUCUGGGGAGGUGGACGGCCAAAAUGGGACUGGGACACGGCCCAGACUCCUACGGGAGGGAGCCAGUGGGGAUCUUCCGACAAGGACGGAAAUCCGACGGAGCAAAGCCGCGGGGGUGAUGACGGGCUUCGGGUUGUAAAGCUCUGUUAAUCGGGACGCGGUACCGGAAUAGAAAGCCACGGCUAACUACGUGCCAGCAGCCGCGGUAAUUC